UACGUAGGGGGCAAGCGUUGUCCGGAUUUAUUGGGCGUAAAGAGCGUGUAGGCGGCCUGACAGGUCUGCUGUGAAAACUCGAGGCUCAACCUCGAGAUGUCGGCGGAAACCGUCUGGCUAGAGUCCGGAAGAGGAGAGUGGAAUUCCUGGUGUAGCGGUGAAAUGCGCAGAUAUCAGGAGGAACACCGGUGGCGAAGGCGGGUCUCUGGGCCGAAAUUGACGCUGAGGAGCGAAAGCGUGGGGAGCAAACAGG
rnacentral:rRNA from 1 species